rnacentral:lncRNA from 1 species
GUGACCUCUUCUGUUGAAUUUCCUCUCUGUGUGAGAUGCUCUGUGGAGAAGGGUUCUGUGGCUGUUCUAUUGUAGGGGUGUAGGUCAUUUUGGGAGUGAUUUCCAUCCCUUAAUGAUAGGAUUCUAUACCAUCACAACAAAUAAUGCAUGUGAAGUUGUGAUCACUGUCAGAUAGAGAAUGCAAGGAAUGGCCUGGUGCAGAAGGACACAGGAAUUUGUCCCCACUGAGGGGAUUGCUAUUUACCAGGUCUGAAGAUGUCACUAGUAACAAGAAAGAAGGAGUGCAUGAGCCUGGAAUGUAACUGCUGCCUAGGGAUUUAAGUACACUCCCUGGUGUGGGUCAGGCAGGGUCUCUGUCUGCUCAGUCCAAACUAACUGUGUCCCCAGAGGCAGAGGGGUCAUCAUCCCGGGUCUUACUCAGAGCAGGGAACAGUCAGUGCUCAGCUACCAGGUAGGUCAUUUUCCUUGUCACUGAAGAUCAGAGCUGAGAGACCCCAACUAGUCUUCCAGCAAGUCAGGCUGACCUGAGUACACUGGUGUGGUUAGGUGAGUGAGGUGACACUGGACUAGGCAGGAAAUGGAAAUACCUAUUCUAAAAUAUUUUUGAAUGAUAAAAAGUAAAAAAGAAUAUAGUGAGAGUCAUUUAUUGAAGGAAUCAAAUAUAAUCAUGGCCUUCAGAGAAUUCAAAGAUAUUUUAAUUUGUGAAAAAUGGACAUUUUUUUA